UACGUAGGGGGCAAGCGUUGUCCGGAAUUAUUGGGCGUAAAGAGCUUGUAGGCGGUUUGUCGCGUCUGCCGUGAAAAUCCGGGGCUCAACCCCGGACUUGCGGUGGGUACGGGCAGACUAGAGUGUGGUAGGGGAGACUGGAAUUCCUGGUGUAGCGGUGAAAUGCGCAGAUAUCAGGAGGAACACCGAUUGCGAAGGCAGCUCGCUGGGACGUUACUGACGCUGAGACGCGAAAGCGUGGGGAGCAAACAGG
rnacentral:rRNA from 1 species